GACGUAGGGCGCGAGCGUUGUCCGGAUUUAUUGGGCGUAAAGAGCUCGUAGGCGGCUUGUCGCGUCGUCCGUGAAAACUUGGGGCUCAACCCCAAGCUUGCGGUCGAUACGGGCAGGCUAGAGUUCGGUAGGGGAGACUGGAAUUCCUGGUGUAGCGGUGAAAUGCGCAGAUAUCAGGAGGAACACCGAUUGCGAAGGCAGCUCGCUGGGACGUCACUGACGCUGAGACGCGAAAGCGUGGGGAGCAAACAGG
rnacentral:rRNA from 1 species